ensembl:miRNA
AAAAGUUCGUUUGGGUUUUUCUGUAAGAUGGUAUGGAAAAACUGGAAUGAACUUUUUGU